rnacentral:rRNA from 1 species
UACGUAGGGGGCAAGCGUUGUCCGGAUUUACUGGGCGUAAAAGGCUCGUAGGCGGCUCGUCCAGUCGGACGUGAAAUCUCCCGGCUCAACCGGGAGAGGUCGUUCGAUACUAGCGGGCUCGAGGCCGGUAGAGGGAAGCGGAAUUCCGGGUGUAGUGGUGGAAUACGUAGAUAUCCGGAGGAACACCAGUGGCGAAGGCGGCUUCCUGGACCGGUUCUGACACUGAGGAGCGAAAGCGUGGGGAGCGAUCCGG